rnacentral:rRNA from 1 species
AGUGAACGCUGGCGGUAGGCCUAACACAUGCAAGUCGAACGGCAGCACAGUAAGAGCUUGCUCUUACGGGUGGCGAGUGGCGGACGGGUGAGGAAUACAUCGGAAUCUACUUUUUCGUGGGGGAUAACGUAGGGAAACUUACGCUAAUACCGCAUACGACCUACGGGUGAAAGCAGUGGAUCUUCGGACCUUGCGCGAUUGAAUGAGCCGAUGUCGGAUUAGCUAGUUGGCGGGGUAAAGGCCCACCAAGGCGACGAUCCGUAGCUGGUCUGAGAGGAUGAUCAGCCACACUGGAACUGAGACACGGUCCAGACUCCUACGGGAGGCAGCAGUGGGGAAUAUUGGAUAAUGGGCGCAAGCCUGAUCCAGCCAUACCGCGUGGGUGAAGAAGGCCUUCGGGUUGUAAAGCCCUUUUGUUGGGAAAGAAAAGCAGCAGGAUAAUACCCCGCUGUUCUGACGGUACCCAAAGAAUAAGCACCGGCUAACUUCGUG